GAUGAACGCUGGCGGCGUGCUUAACACAUGCAAGUCGAACGAUGAAGCCCAGCUUGCUGGGUGGAUUAGUGGCGAACGGGUGAGUAACACGUGAGUAACCUGCCCUUGACUCUGGGAUAAGCGCUGGAAACGGCGCCUAAUACCGGAUACGAGCUUCCACCGCAUGGUGAGUUGCUGGAAAGAAUUUCGGUCAAGGAUGGACUCGCGGCCUAUCAGGUAGUUGGUGAGGUAACGGCUCACCAAGCCGACGACGGGUAGCCGGCCUGAGAGGGUGACCGGCCACACUGGGACUGAGACACGGCCCAGACUCCUACGGGAGGCAGCAGUGGGGAAUAUUGCACAAUGGGCGCAAGCCUGAUGCAGCAACGCCGCGUGAGGGACGAAGGCCUUCGGGUCGUAAACCUCUUUUAGCAGGGAAGAAGCGAAAGUGACGGUACCUGCAGAAAAAGCACCGGCUAACUACGUG
rnacentral:rRNA from 1 species